rnacentral:rRNA from 1 species
AGAGUUUGAUCCUGGCUCAGGAUGAACGCUAGCGGCAGGCUUAAUACAUGCAAGUCGAGGGGUAACACGGGUAGCAAUACCUGGUGACGACCGGCAAACGGGUGCGGAACACGUACAGAACCUUCCUUUGAGCGGGGGAUAGCCCGGAGAAAUCCGGAUUAAUACCCCAUAGUAAUAACGGGUGGCAUCACUUGUUAUUUAAAGAUUUAUCACUUAAAGAUGGCUGUGCGGCUGAUUAGGUAGUUGGUGUGGGUAACGGCCCACCAAGCCUUCGAUCAGUAACUGGUGUGAGAGCACGACCAGUCACACGGGCACUGAGACACGGGCCCGACUCCUACGGGAGGCAGCAGUAAGGAAUAUUGGUCAAUGGACGCAAGUCUGAACCAGCCAUGCCGCGUGAAGGAUGAAGGCCCUCUGGGUUGUAAACUUCUUUUAUCUGGGACGAAACACUCGUUUUCUAACGAGCUUGACGGUACCAGAGGAAUAAGCCUCGGCUAACUACGUGCCAGCAGCCGCGGUAAUACGUAGGAGGCGAGCGUUGUCCGGAUUUACUGGGCGUAAAGCGCGCGCAGGUGGCACUACAAGUACUCAGUGAAAUCUCCUUGCUCAACGGGGAGGGUGCUGAGUAGACUGUAGAGCUAGAGGACGGUAGAGGGGGGUAGAAUUGCUGGUGUAGCGGUGAAAUGCGUAGAGAUCAGCAGGAAUACCCGUGGCGAAGGCGGAUCUCUGGACAGUUACUGACACUGAUGCUCGAAGGCUAGGGGAGCAAGCGGGAUUAGAUACCCCCGUAGUCC